AGUCAAUAGAUACCCGGGUAGUCCCAGCUGUAAACGAUGCGCGUUAGGUGUGUCAGUGACCACGUGUCACUGAGGUGCCGAAGGGAAACCGUGAAACGCGCCGCCUGGGGAGUACGGUCGCAAGGCUGAAACUUAAAGGAAUUGGCGGGGGAGCACCACAACGGUGGAGCCUGCGGUUUAAUCGGACUCAACGCCGGAAAUCUCACCGGAUAAGACAGCUGAAUGAUAGUCGGGAUGAAGACUCUACUUGACUAGCUGAGAGGAGGUGCAUGGCCGUCGUCAGUUCGUACUGUGAAGCAUCCUGUUUAAGUCAGGCAACGAGCGAGACCCACGCGAGCAGUUGCCAGCUU
rnacentral:rRNA from 1 species